rnacentral:rRNA from 1 species
GAUGAACGCUGGCGGCGUGCCUAAUACAUGCAAGUCGAGCGAAUGGAUUAAGAGCUUGCUCUUAUGAAGUUAGCGGCGGACGGGUGAGUAACACGUGGGUAACCUGCCCAUAAGACUGGGAUAACUCCGGGAAACCGGGGCUAAUACCGGAUAACAUUUUGAACCGCAUGGUUCGAAAUUGAAAGGCGGCUUCGGCUGUCACUUAUGGAUGGACCUGCGUCGCAUUAGCUAGUUGGUGAGGUAACGGCUCACCAAGGCAACGAUGCGUAGCCGACCUGAGAGGGUGAUCGGCCACACUGGGACUGGAACACGGCCCAGACUCCUAGGGGAGGAAGCAGUAGGGAAUCUUCCGCAAUGGACGAAAGUCUAACGGAGCAACGCCGCGUGAGUGAUGAAGGCUUUCGGGUCGUAAAACACUGUUGUUAGGGAAGAACAAGUGCUAGUUGAAUAAGCUGGCACCUUGACGGUACCUAACCAGAAAGCCACGGCUAACUACGUGCCAGCCGCCGCCGUAA